AACAGAGGAAGCUGUUGCAAUUUUCCUGCUGUGAGGUCAUGAAGAAUUGAUUAGAUGAGGAUGGUCACAUUUGGAAAAGGUGCUUAAUUUCUGGAUAUUAUGGGUGGAGGAAAAUUUUAAAGAGUUGAUAACAGCAUAUCGUAUCUGGAUGAUGAAUACAUUGUUGUCAGCACUGUCAAAAAAGAUUAAUUGUGGAAAUGAAUCUUUGUACAAUUAGUAUAAUGAGUAAAUUUAGUUGGAAACUUUAUUGAUGUAUCUGUAUGCUGUAGACUGAACAACUGUUUAAAGACCAUUUGAAAAUCUGUACUAUUGUGACAAGUGUCAUUUGCUAUGGUGCAGGAUAAUGUGGUCCACUGUACAGUGAAGGAGCAGUGAGGGGUGGUGCCCUAGUAACCCAAUCAUUGUUUAUCAGGACAGGGUUGUGUGAAUCAUAAUGAAACUACUAGCGAAGUUUCUGUGGACUUUCUGAUAAGCAUCAUUCUGAUGCAUGGUCGAAUUUAUGCUUUGUCAAAUAAAGCAUUUAAUUACCAGUAUCUUCCACUUACACACAAAAAUAAUACAUAUUGUUAAUUGGAAAUAGUUCAGAUUGGACAUCCCAGGCAAACUACCUUUAACAGUUGCUUUAAAAUGAGAAUAAGCAUAACGUUGAGAUCUGCUGGUGGGCAUGUUUUUUUCCUCCCUUGAAUUUGCAUAUUAUGUAUUUUGAAACGUCAGAGAGGAUGCUUUUUAAUUUGAAAACUUGUUCUUCAACAAAUGGUGUUUCAUCACCAAUACCAUAUAGGAUAGAAACAAAAAAAAAGUUAUGUAAUCUUUAAUUUGCAACAAGUUUCUUGGCCGAGAGUAUGUUAUUAAAAAUUUUAUUGUGUUGGUUUAAGGGGGAAAACCUUACUUUUCCAAAAAAGGAAAUAAAUACCCAUGGAUGCCCCUUAUGCGUUGUUGCCACAUUUCGAAGUCUGGACCUUAGCCCUAUGGCUUCCAUAAAAAAAUCAAAGUCUCUGCACACAGUCAGUCCCAAGUUUGAACUCUCUCCAAUUCCUCCAUUCCUUCCUUUUGUUGUAUGUAGUGUGGGUGUUCAGGAGAAUGAUGACUAAUAGGAUUUGCCAGAUUUAGCAGAUAAAAACAUAGGACGUCCAGUUAAAUUUGAAGUUCAGAUAACUGUGGGUUUUUUUUUUUUUUUUUUAGUAGAGGACAUAUAUACUAAAAAAUUAUUCGUUGAUCUGAAAUUCGAACUUAACUCGACGUUCUGUAUUUUAUCUGACAAGCCCUGCUUACUUUUUCUUUAAAACGAUUUGUAAACUUACUCCAAAAAAUUCCUAAAUGGGAGAAAAAAGUAACUCGUCUGGGCUGGCAGCAGACAAGACUCAGGGAAGUCGGCCCUUCUCCCAAACUUGGCCUUUAAGAAAAAGGAAAAAAAAAAAAAACCCAGAAAACCCACAAGUCCCGGGAGCCUGCGCAUUAAAGCGAGCUGUGCAGCAGCUUUCCCGCCGGUUUUCUGCGGAAUGUAGCUCGGUGGCCACGCUGGGGGGUGGAGUGCAAAUGGCUGUGUCCUAGCCGGAUAGGAAAGGAGGUGCCGGAAACUUUAAACCCCAGACAAGACUACAACGUGUCUACUUAGACGGCGAAUCCAGCUGCCACGCCAUGAGAAGCCGAAACCAAUGGAGAGGCCAUAUGUAGCUGCUGCAGCUGAACUCUCAGCUGAUAGCCAACAUCAACUGCUCACCAUGUGAGUAAGUCAUUUUGGACUGCUGCCCAUCUAGCCUUCACUUGACUCCAGCCCCAAAUGACAUCCAGCUGUGUCAAUGCAAGAGCCUCCAAGGGAGAACCACCCAGCUAAGCCCAGUCAAGCCACAGAACUAUGAAAGAUAACAAUAAAUUGUUCUAUUAAGCCUCUA